UUGGUGCCAUCUAUCGACCACAGGUUAAAGUUUGGCGAUCCGUUGGAUACCAACCGAGUUAUAGGCAAAACUUGGUGCAAAAAUGAGGAAAAUUUUACGUUUUCUCAAACAGGGUAUGGAACUUGGUUCCUCGAAUAACUUCUGGCACAGACAUCUGAGGGCAUGGCUGUCCAAGAAGAAAAUGUAGCCAUUGGUGCCAUCUAUCGACCACAGGUUAAAGUUUGGCGAUCCGUUGGAUACCGACCGAAUUAUAGGCAAAAUUUGGUGCAAAAAUGAGGAAAAUUUUCGUUUUUUUUUUAAUUUUUUGAUUUUUUUAUUAUUUUUCACUCUUUUUUUUAUUUCAAGCAUUAUUAGAGUGAAAAGAAACUCAUUGCAACCCAUUGGCAUUAAAAUAAAACAAUUUAAUUUUUUUGCAAAAUUUCCCAAAAAAAUCGUAAGGGGUAAGCCUUAUGAAAUUUUCGAGUGGAAAAUUUUUUUGAAAUUUUUUUCUAAUUUUUUAUUCUUUUUUUAAUUUAAAGCACUAUUUAAGUGAAAAGAAACUUAUUGCAACAAAUUCCCAUCAAAAUAUAUCACAUUUAAAAUUUUUGCUACAUUGCUCAAAAAUGAGGAAAAUUUUACAUUUUCUCAAACAGGGUAAGGAACUUGGUUCCUCGAAUAACUUCUGGCACAGACAUCUAAGGGCAUGGCUGUCCAAGAAGAAAAUGUAGCCAUUGGUGCCAUCUAUCGACCACAGGUUAAAGUUUGGCGAUCCGUUGGAUACCGACCGAGUUAUAGGCAAAACUUGGUGCAAAAAUGAGGAAAAUUUUACGUUUUCUCAAACAGGGUAUGGAACUUGGUUCCUCGAAUAACUUCUGGCACAGACAUCUGAGGGCAUGGCCGUCCAAGAAGAAAAUGUAGCCAUUGGUGCCAUCUAUCGACCACAGGUUAAAGAUUGGCGAUCCGUUUGAUACCGACCGAGUUAUAGGCAAAACUUGGUGCAAAAAUGAAGAAAAUUUUACAUUUUCUCAAACAGGGUAAGGAACUUGGUUCCUCGAAUAACUUCUGGCACAGACAUCUAAGGGCAUUGCUGUCCAAGAAGAAAAUGUAGCCAUUGGUGCCAUCUAUCGACCACAGGUUAAAGAUUGGCGAUCCGUUGGAUACCGACCGAGUUAUAGGCAAAAUUUGGUGCAAAAAUGAGGAAAAUUUUCAUUUUUUUUUAAUUUUUUGAUUUUUUUUAUUAUUUUUCACUCUUUUUUUUAUUUCAAGCAUUAUUAGAGUGAAAAGAAACUCAUUGCAACCCAUUGGCAUUAAAAUAAAACAAUUUAAUUUUUUUUGUAAAAUUUCCCAAAAAAUCGUAAGGGGUAAG